rnacentral:rRNA from 1 species
GAUGAACGCUGGCGGCGUGUUUAAGACAUGCAAGUCGCACGGAACAGGACAUGUAGUAAUACUUGUUUUGUUUAGUGGCGCACGGGUGAGUAACACGUGAAUUACAUGCCCUAUAGUGGGGAAUAGCCCAGGGAAACUUGGAUUAAUACCCCAUGGUCUCGCAAGAGUAAAGGUGGCCGCAAGGCUGUCGCUAUAGGAUUGGUUCGCGCCCUAUCAGCUUGUUGGAGAGGUAACGGCUCACCAAGGCAAUGACGGGUACCUGGUCUGAGAGGACGAUCAGGCAAACUGGAACUGAGACACGGUCCAGACACCUACGGGUGGCAGCAGUCGAGAAUAAUUCACAAUGGGGGCAACCCUGAUGGUGCAACGCCGCGUGGAGGAUGACGGUCUUCGGAUUGUAAACUCCUGUCAUCUGGGAGAAAGACCUGACGGUAAAUAGCCGGCAGGGUUGAUAGUACCAGAAGAGGAAGGGACGGCUAACUUCGUGCCAGCCGCCGCCGUAA